rnacentral:rRNA from 1 species
UACGUAGGGUGCGAGCGUUGUCCGGAAUUACUGGGCGUAAAGGGCGCGUAGGCGGCCAUCUAAGUCAGACGUGAAAUCCCCCGGCUUAACCUGGGAACUGCGUCUGAUACUGGACGGCUUGAGUUUGGGAGAGGGAUGCAGAAUUCCAGGUGUAGCGGUGAAAUGCGUAGAUAUCUGGAGGAAUACCGGUGGCGAAGGCGGCAUCCUGGACCAACACUGACGCUGAGGCGCGAAAGCUAGGGGAGCAAACGGG